rnacentral:rRNA from 1 species
AUUGAACGCUGGCGGCAUGCCUUACACAUGCAAGUCGAACGGCAGCACGGGAGCAAUCCUGGUGGCGAGUGGCGAACGGGUGAGUAAAGUAUCGGAACGUGCCCAGUCGUGGGGGAUAACGUAGCGAAAGUUACGCUAAUACCGCAUACGAUCUAUGGAUGAAAGCGGGGGAUCGCAAGACCUCGCGCGAUUGGAGCGGCCGAUAUCAGAUUAGGUAGUUGGUGGGGUAAAGGCACACCAAGCCGACGAUCUGUAGCUGGUCUGAGAGGACGACCAGCCACACUGGGACGGAGAGACGGCCCAGACUCCUACGGGGGGCAGCAGUGGGGAAUUUUGGACAAUGGGCGAAAGCCUGAUCCAGCCAUGCCGCGUGCAGGAUGAAGGCCUUCGGGUUGUAAACUGCUUUUGUACGGAACGAAAAGGUUUGGCCUAAUAAGCUGAGCUCAUGACGGUACCGUAAGAAUAAGCACCGGCUAACUACGUGCCAGCAGCCGCCGUAA